GAGAGGAAGGUAGUAACCUAAUAAUACGUCAGCGACUGGUAUGUUUGCCUGCCCUUUUUUUAUUUUGCUUGUCAAUGUAUUUUUUCCAUUUGAGUUUUCUGUUGAUAAGCCUCAGAGUUUUGGUAGGCGCCUAGUGGUGGAAUGGUUGGGCUGGAAUCGGAAUUGAGAUGUGAUGUUAACGGGCCAUCGUGCAUCUUUUUUAAAUUUUGAGCAAUUUGAGUACGCUAGUGCCACUAUGCAUGUUUCAUGUAUACAUGUAUGCGCGGUUUCUGUUCUUGUCGUACUUAUAGAUCGCUACGUUAUUUCAAUUUUGAAAAUCUGAGUCCUGGGAGUGCGGAGCCAUGCAUACAUGUACUUUAUUGUUGCAUAGUAUUGCUAGAGUACACUUUCUCCAUGAUUGUCUGUCUUCUUUACACCAGUUCUGUUUUCUGUCUUAACCUCUUCACUAUCAUGGAAAGUUUCUACCAUUACCACACCCACACACGAACAUUAAGGCUAAUCGUUAUUAGUUCAAUCUCCAUAGCCACACUCUUUUUUUCUUCCAAUAUUUUCCGUCGCUUUCCAAGUGACAGAAAAAAAAAGGAGUUUGAAUUAGGCUUGCAAAAGGGACAAUAUAUAUGAUACUGUCACUCCUAAUGUCUAAUUUAUCGUCAACUCUGUAAAGGAAGCAAGAAAGAGAAAGGUUGCUGGAAAUAAAAUUUGUACAAACAAGACGGUUUAUUCUAGUUAUUCCAUUUUUCAGUAGAUUUUUGCCUUUUACUAGAGUCAAUUUAACCAGUAUAAAAGGUUCAAGGAAAAAUCUAUUCACUGAACUUAUCACGAAACCUCAAAUGUGUCAGACGCAUUAAAAAGAUAAAUCAAAAAAACGGUAUGCAAGCGAGUCAAAAGACUGGUACUCCCUUCGUUUCCUGUCCCAUUUUGCCUCAAGCAUUGAAUAAGUUUGCGAGCGAAUAAUAACCGGGGAAAUGAUACAAGAGAAAAUCCAUAAUUUGGGAUCUUCUUGGAUGGAUUCAUUUAUGUAUUUAUUUGCUCAUUUUUGAGGAUCAAUACAAUAUUCUUGUCCUAUCCUUGCUAAAGUAAAGAACGGGCAUUAAUUUCUGAACGGAAAGAAUUGUGUGUUCACUUUAUGGUUUUCGCAUUGUACAUUUUUCAACUUGCAUGAGCAGUCGGUUUCCUCAAUACUUUUUCGGUGCUUACGAAUAAUUUUUGGAACUUCAAUU
rnacentral:telomerase_RNA from 1 species